CACCACUCAAGCCCGGCUUGGUAUUGGGCGGCGGGGCUCCCCCGCGCCUUAAUUUCACCGGCUGGACGACCCGUAUCUCAGCGUUGUGGCAUCAAAUUCGCUGGCGAGAAGGGUGGCCCGCGCCGUUAAAAUUUCAAUCAA
rnacentral:misc_RNA from 1 species